rnacentral:rRNA from 1 species
ACGGAGGGUGCGAGCGUUAAUCGGAAUUACUGGGCGUAAAGCGCGCGUAGGUGGUAAGGUCAGUCGGAUGUGAAAGCCCCGGGCUUAACCUGGGAACUGCAUUCGAUACUGCCUUGCUAGAGUAUGGUAGAGGGAAGUGGAAUUCCGGGUGUAGCGGUGAAAUGCGUAGAUAUCCGGAGGAACACCAGUGGCGAAGGCGACUUCCUGGACCAAUACUGACGCUGAGGUGCGAAAGCGUGGGGAGCAAACAGG